rnacentral:lncRNA from 1 species
GCCCCGUGACCACGCCCUGUUGCUGGUGAAGGUGGGUUUGCGCGUGCCGCGAGGUGGACAGCCUUGGUUGGGUUGCGUUUGGACUCCCAGAUGGGGAAGCGCCUGGGCGGGAUCCAGCAUCCCUGAGCGCGUGGCGCUUUGGUAGCCAGUUGCUUCCUGGCGGGCGGGCUUUCGCGAAUGCCUGGCACUUCUGCUGGGCCCCGCGUGCUGCUCUGGGCUGGCCUGAGAGCCAAGCCUCCUCUGCACUGGGCUGCCCCAGGUAGACCGCGGGAACAACACAAUUGAGGCGUGGCAGAGCGUCUCGGCGGUGUCUCGCUUCAUUCAUUCAAGAUCAAGUUGCUGAUUUUAGGGUUAUUAGGUCGGAUUGAUAGUCAAUUAUUUUUAUGUCUCCGGGCUAGGAAGCUGUAAACAAAAGCAAAAGGAAGUUUGAUGAAGGAAUUCUUAUCUUUGUAGAUAAGAAUAACACGAGUGCUCUUGUUCUUGGAAGGACUUUGAAAUCAGCAUUCCCUCCUUGGUCCCUGACUCAUUCAGAGUUAUGAAUUUUAAAAUGCAGCCAGUGAAAGUGGGAAGAGCACUGAACUUGGAGUCAGAAGAGCCUUUCAAGUUAUUCCCAGUGACAAAAAUCCAUCUUCCUCCCAUGAGACUCAGUUUGCCUAUCUGUGGGGUGAGGUUAGGCUUAAGAUGUGCUAAACAACACACUAAGGGUUCUUGCUGCCAUCUGCGGUUGUCUCUUUAUGGGACAGUGCCUUCUUCACUUACCUACAUCCACAUAGAUGCCAUCUUCAUGACAUGAAACUUUCUUGGGAGAAGCUAUGCUUCUGCCCAGUGUUAAUGAGUUUACGUUGAUUUAUUCUACACCUUAUUAACUAAUAAAGUUUACAAAGUAAUUUGGACUAGAUAGAUGAACUCCCAAGUUUACUGUGAAAUUUUAUUAAUCCUGAAGUAUUUAAAUUUUUAUGUAAUAAAGGAAAAACCUUAUAUAACCAAACCUGCAAUUCAUAAUUCCCCAAAUCUUUCAAGCUGCCUCUAUUUCUAAACUGGAGAAUUUGCUCAUCCCCAGAAGAGGCUUACGGGCAGAGAUGAUUGGUGAGGGGGAAAAUAUAGGUACCUUUCCCCAACCAAGAACAAACAAGCCAAGAUCCCCAUCAGUCCCCUGCCUUCCCCUCUUGGAGAAGAGAUACAUUUAUCCUCUCCUAACAACAAUCAAGAUUAGCCAUUUCUACUUAGAGACAGUCCCAAUAUAUCUGAUGCAAGGGUUUAGUUUGGUGUGUACACAGUAAGGCAAGAGUGUAUCCUCAGCGUUUUAGGGAGAAUGCCAUAUUCCCGGACUUUGCCUAUGCAUAGUUGACUGUGUGUCUAAUUAAUGUCAGGUGCACUACAGACAGGAACCUGCACAGAUGAAAACAGUGAAUGCAGGCCCUAAUCUACCAGGAAAAAGAAAAGCUCUCAUAUUACAACCCUUAUCAACCAAAUUUUCUUGAACUCUCGGAAAGGAAAUCCCGAACAAUAAUUUCAUCCCUCAGUACUCUUCGUGUAGCCUACUGUCAACCUAUAUCUUUUUCUAGUCUGUUAUUGCUUCAUUUCAAUUAAGUUAUUGUGUGAUUUUUUUGCAAAUCUGCGUGAGGCCUUAUUUUCAGUUCUCUGGAUUAAGAGACCAAGAACCUAGAAACGCCUGACUGCUGACUUCUUUACAUAAGAAUUGUAAAUAAUGAGAUUCCAAAAUUCAUGCCUCAACAGCAGAUGACCUUGAAGGCUAUCACAGUAGUCAAACUUGCUCAUAACACAGUGCUAUCCGCGUCGCAUAAAGUUCUCUUUUCAAACUGAUUUUUGUAUCUGCAUGAGAAUUUCCAACUUAUUUUACUAUGUUCAACCUUUUAGUUUUCUACCUGGAUAGUAUUGAUUUCCCCAUCUUAUUCUGGCUUUUGGAUGACCUGUCUAUAUUUGAAAAUAAUGCUGAUUCUC